rnacentral:rRNA from 1 species
UACGUAGGUGGCGAGCGUUGUCCGGAUUUACUGGGCGUAAAGGGAGCGUAGGCGGACUUUUAAGUGAGAUGUGAAAUACCCGGGCUCAACUUGGGUGCUGCAUUUCAAACUGGAAGUCUAGAGUGCAGGAGAGGAGAAUGGAAUUCCUAGUGUAGCGGUGAAAUGCGUAGAGAUUAGGAAGAACACCAGUGGCGAAGGCGAUUCUCUGGACUGUAACUGACGCUGAGGCUCGAAAGCGUGUGGAGCAAACAGGAUUAGAUACCCCU